rnacentral:rRNA from 1 species
CACCUACGGGACGCAGCAGUGGGGAAUAUUGAACAAUGGGGGAAACCCUGAUGCAGCAACGCCGCGUGAGUGAAGAAGUAUUUCGGUAUGUAAAGCUCUAUCAGCAGGGAAGAAGAUGACGGUACCUGAGUAAGAAGCCCCGGCUAACUACGUGCCAGCAGCCGCGGUAAUACGUAGGGGGCAAGCGUUAUCCGGAUUUACUGGGUGUAAAGGGAGCGUAGACGGUGAGACAAGUCUGAAGUGAAAGCUAGGGG